rnacentral:rRNA from 1 species
AUGUGUCAAGCACGUACGAAGGUACAUGAUGGAUGCUUACAUGGAUGCACGGUGGCUCAUCAGGCAUCUCUUGGAUCUUCGUGCAUGGAGCCGUCUGAUGGCCCUUGUGGUCUCUUGGCGGCACACUUGAUCUUGAAGUGUGGUGACUCUUUGCUACAGUUGGCGGCGGCACACUUGAUCUUGAAGUGUGGUGACUCUUUGCUACAGUUGGCGCCAUGGCUCGCGUACGGAUGGGUUGUCAUCUACGAUUACAUCUUACACGGGCAGGGUUACAAGACCUCACGAUCCCAUGAAGGUUCGUGGCCGGCAACCAUGUCAUUGUUAUAG